rnacentral:lncRNA from 1 species
AUGGCCCCAUUUUGCCUUCCUGGCAGCAGUGUGAGCAGCUCCCGCUGCCCAGUUGUGUGCGUGUGCAUGUGUGUGUGCGUGUGUGUACUUCUUGCCAUGAGGGUGUGUUCACUGUGUAGAAGCAGCCUUUCCUGGUCGCGAGGAACUCUGGGGCCUGUCACACUGGCGGUAGGCUUGCAGGCCCCACUGCGGGCUCUUCUUACUUCCGCGGGGGGUGGGGGGUGGGGACAGAGGACCCAGGGGCAGCGGGCCACUGGCCACAGCCACGGGUCACUGACAAGGGAAACUGGAAAAGCAGGUUGGCUGAGAGCAGGGGGGCAGGACCUGGAGCUCCCAGGCCCUGCGCAGCUUCAGUCUGGAAGAGUUUGGCUUGGAGACUUUGAGAGAAACCUGCACCUGUCAGCGGUGCUCCCCGGGGCGGGGCCCUGCGGCUCUGCUCGCCCCCACCGGGAGAGACCCCUGAGCAGGGCCCUGUUCCUGGGGUGGGGGUGGGGGUGCCCGGGAGUCUCUGUUGCUGUCAGAGGGUCUCCAGGAGUGGCGGCCAGGCCUCCAGGGCUCACUCUGCCACCAACCCUCAUUGGAGCAAGGGACACCUGCGGACUGCCCCACAGCGACAGGUUCCCAGCCAGGGCAGCAGCAGGCUGGGGGGGGGGGUGCCAGGUGCUCAGAGCCCACCGCACUCUCACCCCAGGCAGCCCGCUCCUUGGUGGCCCCCAUUCACCAGCUUUGGAACGAAUGAGGACACGAAAGAGAUCUGGUUGGUCCCGUUGGUCUUGCAGGGAAAGCAGUCCAUGCUCGUCUGGCCCAGAAUGUUUAGCCCUGCUCCAGAUGUCCUCUCUAGGGGACGGGACACGCCGUGGUGCAGGAGAAAGGGCUGGUUGCCAGGACUGUGUGUCCAGGCAACCGUGGGGUUCUGCAAGGCAACUUGCCGGAAUCGUGCAGAAAAUCGGUGUAAGGAAGGCCAAGGACUCAUCCACACUGAGAUGCAACCACCAGACUCAAGGGUGA